GCACCUGGAAAUCGAAUCCAGAGCAAAGCGCCAAUGUA
rnacentral:sRNA from 1 species